GUAUUAAAUUUGUUAAGCUUGCUAACAAGCUUAUUAUAUGACAUUCUAAAACAAGUGUAUAUAUAAUAAAACAUAAACCGAUUUCUAAUGAAACCGGUCUACAAAAUGUGCACAAGGUGUAGAAAUUUGGAACAAGGCGUGCACGUAUCUAAAAGAUCAGCAACAACCCUUUCAAAAUUCGAUAAUGAUCCUUCCGCAGGUUCACCUACGGAAA
rnacentral:misc_RNA from 1 species